rnacentral:rRNA from 1 species
UACGUAGGGCGCAAGCGUUGUCCGGAAUUAUUGGGCGUAAAGAGCUCGUAGGCGGUUUGUCGCGUCUGCUGUGAAAACCUGAGGCUCAACCUCGGGCUUGCAGUGGGUACGGGCAGACUAGAGUGCGGUAGGGGUGACUGGAAUUCCUGGUGUAGCGGUGGAAUGCGCAGAUAUCAGGAGGAACACCGGUGGCGAAGGCGGGUCUCUGGGCAACAACUGACGCUGAGGAGCGAAAGCGUGGGGAGCGAACAGG